rnacentral:rRNA from 1 species
UACGGGGGGGCAAGCGUUGUUCGGAAUUACUGGGCGUAAAGGGCUCGUAGGCGGCCAACUAAGUCAUACGUGAAAUCCCCCGGCUUAACCGGGGAACUGCGUCUGAUACUGGAUGGCUUGAGUUCGGGAGAGGGAUGCGGAAUUCCAGGUGUAGCGGUGAAAUGCAUAGAUAUUGUCAAGAACACCGAUUGCGAAGGCAGCUUACUAGACUGUAACUGACGCUGAGGCACGAAAGUGUGGGGAUCAAACAGG